rnacentral:tRNA from 1 species
GGGUGUAGCUCAGUGGUAGAGUGCUUACCUAGCAUGUGAGGCACUGGGUUCGAUUCUCAGCACUGCA